UACGUAGGGGGCAAGCGUUGUCCGGAUUUAUUGGGCGUAAAGAGCGUGUAGGCGGCCAAGCAGGUCAGCUGUGAAAACUCGAGGCUCAACCUCGAGACGUCGGUUGAAACCGCUUGGCUAGAGUCCGGAAGAGGAGAGUGGAAUUCCCGGUGUAGCGGUGAAAUGCGCAGAUAUCAGGAAGAACACCCGUGGCUAAGGCGGCUCUCUAGUACGUGACUGACGCUGAGACGCGAAAGCGUGGGGAGCGAACAGG
rnacentral:rRNA from 1 species